AGAGUUUGAUCAUGGCUCAGAUUGAACGCUGGCGGCAGGCUUAACACAUGCAAGUCGAGCGGAAACGAUGAUAGCUUGCUAUCAGGCGUCGAGCGGCGGACGGGUGAGUAAUGCUUAGGAAUCUGCCCAGUAGUGGGGGACAACAGUCGGAAACGGCUGCUAAUACCGCAUACGCCCUUUGGGGGAAAGCAGGGGAUCUUCGGACCUUGCGCUAUUGGAUGAGCCUAAGUCGGAUUAGCUAGUUGGUGGGGUAAUGGCUCACCAAGGCGACGAUCCGUAGCUGGUCUGAGAGGAUGAUCAGCCACAUCGGGACUGAGACACGGCCCGAACUCCUACGGGAGGCAGCAGUGGGGAAUAUUGGACAAUGGGGGCAACCCUGAUCCAGCCAUGCCGCGUGUGUGAAGAAGGCUUUCGGGUUGUAAAGCACUUUCAGUGAGGAGGAAGGCCUCAAGUUUAAUACGCUUGAGGAUUGACGUUACUCACAGAAGAAGCACCGGCUAACUCCGUGCCAGCAGCCGCGGUAAUACGGAGGGUGCAAGCGUUAAUCGGAAUUACUGGGCGUAAAGCGCGCGUAGGUGGUUGAGUAAGCGAGAUGUGAAAGCCCCGGGCUUAACCUGGGAACGGCAUUUCGAACUGCUUGGCUAGAGUGUGGUAGAGGGUAGUGGAAUUUCCUGUGUAGCGGUGAAAUGCGUAGAUAUAGGAAGGAACACCAGUGGCGAAGGCGGCUACCUGGACCAACACUGACACUGAGGUGCGAAAGCGUGGGGAGCAAACGGGAUUAGAUACCCCGGUAGUCCACGCCGUAAACGAUGUCAACUAGCCGUUGGGGAUCUUGAAUCCU
rnacentral:rRNA from 1 species